UUCAUCAAGAUGGCAGCCGGGAGGCCCCGAGUCCCAGAGACACCUGGGGCCCAUUUGGGACAAUUAAUGGGCCCAGUCCUCCCUCCCACCCUCUUCCUCGUGACAGCCAUGUGACCUGCCCAUUCCAACCGCCCUCCACAACUGCUCACCGAAGGAGACAGACUCUUGUGUACACGGUUGUACGGUCUCAUGGAGACCUCCCCCGCCCCAGCCCCCACCGGACGGACGCACAGACAGACCGAGAGCCGUUCUAACUGAUAUGGCUUUAACUAUUGAAGACGGACAGAGAAGACACCGUGAGAAACUGCUUGCUCGGUCGGAAUAAAAGCAAAAAAUCCUCUAAAA